rnacentral:rRNA from 1 species
GAGGAAUAUUGGGCAAUGCCCGCAAGGGUGACCCAGCAACGCCGCGUGGAGGAUGAAUGUCGUAAGAUUGUAAACUCCUGUUAGAGGGGAAGAAUAGUACCGGUUGGACCGGUAUAUGACUGUACCCUCAGAGAAAGCCCCGGCUAACUACGUGCCAGCAGCCGCGGUAAUACGUAGGGGGCAAGCGUUGUACGGAUUUACUGGGUGUAAAGGGCGCGCAGGCGGGAUAAAAAGUCAGUGGUGAAAUCCUACAGCUUAACUGUAGAACUGCCUUUGAUACUUUUAUUCUUGAGUUCGGGAGAGAGAGACGGAAUUCCAGGUGUAGUGGUGAAAUACGUAGAUAUCUGGAAGAACACCAGUUGCGAAGGCGGUCUCUUGGUCCGACACUGACGCUGAGGCGCGAAAGCGUGGGGAGCAAACA